rnacentral:rRNA from 1 species
UACAGAGGGUGCAAGCGUUAAUCGGAAUUACUGGGCGUAAAGCGUGCGUAGACGGUUAUGUAAGUCGGGUGUGAAAGCCCCGGGCUCAACCUGGGAAUGCCAUUCGAGACUGCAUAGCUAGGGUGCGGGAGAGGUUGAUGGAAUUCCAGGUGUAGCGGUGAAAUGCGUAGAUAUCUGGAAGAACACCAGUGGCGAAGGCGGUCAACUGGCCCGAAACUGACGCUGAGGCACGAAAGCGUGGGGAGCGAACAGG